GUAUUUUCUAAUUCCUGACGGUGUAAACGCUUCGCUUGUUCGCCCGUUGGAUUUCACGAGAAGAAAUGAGAGGAGGAAAUCUCGUGACACAUAUGUGAGGAAAAUUCACCGAACAUCCGCAACACUUACGUCAAGACUUGCAAAAGUUUCAAAUAGAAUUGAAAUUAUUCCUACAAGAGAGCGAUGGCUUUAAAGGACCUGAAAUUAUUCCGGUUUCUCGAUUCGCGGUCAAAUUUCCGCGGGCUCUAACGUCGAUGCCGCGAACCUAAUUUUCCGUUGAAUUUUCCUCAUCCCGGUGCAUCCGGAAACACAAUGGCCGAAUUACGAGCCGUAUGCGUCGCCCUACGCGGAAAGGGGGAGAAUUACGGCCCAAUGAAAGUAUAAAAUGUCGCUCGUUAACGGAGCCAAUGCCAGAAAUCGCUGAAACUCGCUGGCAAUAAAAGGUAACGAGUAUUCGCGGGCUGUAAACAUCCGCGGAACGCUACUCCGGAACAUUUCAUAAUCCUGUUACGAGGCACUUUGACUUUCGUGGCCAGCUGCGGUGUGCGCGCGCGUAUAUACGUGUGGUGCGCGCGCGGGGAUUGGAAAUAAAAUUCUGCUAUCGAGGUGCAAGUAACGGCGCGGCGUUGCCGUACCGUGUAAGAUUGUUGCAUCGUGGGAAAAUGUAAAGGAGGAGAGAGAAUAAUUGUCGGUGGUCCUGCGGCGCGCGCGCGCGCGCGCGCGCGCGUGUGUGUGUGUGUGUGUGUGCACGGAGUGCGAAUUUAAGAUUCCUUCUGUCGCGUUAGACGGUCUUCUCGUGACACUCGACUCCGGCCGAGUUAUGAGACCAACGAAAAUAACAUGUGCUACCGAUCGCUUUUAUCGCGUCUUCAUCUAUUAUAAAAAUGCUUAUCUAUCUCUUAUAUCUAACACAGUCCCGAUUGCGUACAAUUCUUAUCGGAUUGAUACUCGACGGAACGUUUUAAUAUCCGUGACAUAUGUCCUGUAUCACAGAAGGGAUUUUCACAUUCGCAUUUCUAAAUUUAAUAUUUCUAAUAUUAAAUUCAUAAUCAAUAAUUAACAACAGUCUUCUUUAAUGUUAACUAAAAAGAAAUUGAAUCUAGAUUGAUCAAAGAUUUAUUAAUAAGUUCUGUACAUAUUGAAGGUGAUAUUUGUCAGAACUGAAGGUAGUUUAAUCAUUCGGUAAUUGACUAUUCGCUACUCUCGUUUAUCGAGUCGGAAAAAUUCAGAUGACGUAAAUUUUUCAUUAGCACGGCAAAUUUCUGCCGGCAAAACGAGCGGUCCACGGUGCGUCGCUAACGUAUGAGCUCAGCUGUCUCUUUUUCGAGGUAACACGAUAUCCUGGAGGAACCUAAUGUCGAGCAAGCGGAGGUAACACCGACCGAAUGACGGACGGUCCGAGUGGGCCUUUCGUGUAAUGGACGGCUCAAAUAUUUAUCAUCGGCCGCGUAAUUUAAGGUGCGUUUAGCAAACGGAAGACGACGCGAGGAAAAACAAACAGGACAGGGGCGGUGUAGCAUAGCCGGCGAGAAGGAAAGAACGGAGCGACGGCGAACGAGGAGGAAGAAGAGAUGGUGGUGGAGAAGGAGGAGGAGGAGGAGGAGGAGGAUGAGCGGGGAUGCUGAGGGGGGUCAACAACGAUAAGCAGGAGCGAGAAGGCGCCGAGGACGAGAGAGGCGGAAAGAGUAGCUCAAAGGGGCCGCCGCGGGGUCUAGAGAGCCUUGUGAGAAGGCGCAAACCCCAAUAAUAGCACCAGAAUUUAUAUACCUGCACGAACUCGGUGGAGAACGGUCCCGCUGGAAGGGUCCGCCGACCCAGGGACGGCUCAUUGGACAAUACUCCGCGUCGCUUCUGGACAAUACUCUCAGCGAUGUUCGCGUGUCCGUUUUCACGUCGGCCUUCGGUAACUUCGGAAUGUUAAGUUACAAGAAAUCGCGCCGGACGAUUCGUCUACAAGUUUAGCCGGAGGAUUUAUGAUAUUCUUCGAAAGGAAAAGAGAUCGCGCGUUUGAAAAGAGCGCAUAUACCUUCAAUGAUUCGUACGACGACGUUUGCGUUUCGCGUCCUGGUAGUCCUGCCGGGAGGGAUGUACACAACGCACUUCGAUUCGGAUACCCGUGUUUCUCUCAAAGCUGAGCGGCCCUGGGUUUCGCUGUCGUCUAGCAUCCUUUAAAUAGACGAAGAAGCUGAGGAACGGAAUGAGGGAGAGAGUAGAGGAUUCGUGGCAGCCUGGAGAACGAAUCAUCCAUCACGGAUGGCUCAAAGCCGUAUCUUCUAGUGGUCGGUGCCCGCCGGUACUGGAUGCCGCAGCGUGGCCAAAUAUUGUGAAAGGUCCAGAAAAGGCAGGAACGUGAAAUAAAUUUGCUGCGCCGAUGUGAGAGGAAAGACGGAAGGGCAGAGGAGACGGAGGGAGGGAGAGAGAAAGAGAAAGAAAGGGAGAGGAGAGAAACGGUAGAAAAAAGCGAGAACAUUGGUCUCCCUCCCUUCUGGUCAGCUCGAAACGUUGCGUCUUGUACUUGUGCGUGUCGAGAUGGAGAGACGAAGAAGGCUCUUUAACCACUGUCGGCUCUUUGAACCCUGCCGAUCUCUCUCGCGCGCUCUCCUUCUCUCUCUUCCUCUCUCGUUUUCUCUCCCUUCUUUUCUCUCGUCGUUUCGUGCCGUCUCUGCCCUGCCGCGCUAUCAUUUUCCUUCUCUUUCCAUCUCUUUGUCUCUUUUGCCUUCAAUAUCUGAUUCGCGUUCAUACACAAACCGAAGUUGGUAAUGUCAUUUACACUUUACACAUGAAAAUAUCAUUUAUUGUUCCAGCCAAUUAUGUCCCAUCCAAUCUCUCAUCAGCUCGAUUUGUAUCAAGGCACCUUCCUCGUUUUUUUUUCUUUUUUUUUUUUCAAGUAAAAAGAACGCGUCAGGUUUUUACAUAAACCAUCUGUCUGGCAUACAUUCGCCGACGAUCGACUCAAAAGGAAAUCUCCUCUGCGGAUGAUAGCUCUCGUCCAAUAAUUGAAUUUUCACAGUACGUUAUAACGUGAAGCGGCGCAGUGCUUUUUACACGCACGUUCUUUUUUCGGGCAUGGGACUCUAACUCGAUAGCUAUAGGCCUCACAAUGUUCUCCGCUAUAAUUUUACAGUUUACAUCAAGGGACGCCGAGACAGGACAUUUUACCGCAAGAAAAAUUAUGGCAAAAUUAUGGAAGGACCGGUUAAUCGCGCGGAGAAUUCGCGAGGAGCAAAUUGUCACCGGAUAUCAGUUUUAACAUCCGGUAUCUCGUGAUUCCAAAGCUUAACUCUCUUGAAGGAAACACGAUCUUGCAUCCUCGAAGCCGCUAUCCUCCCUCGGAUGUUCCAUGCUGACGCUUGUUAACGCAGCAGCACCUUGACCGUGCUCUCAGCCCAUAAUUUUCUCCGCGAACGUCACGGAUCCCCUCUCGCUGGUGGAUUAAUAAUCUAGAGUGAUCUCUCUCUUUCUCUCUUUCUCUCUCUACAUAUUUUUUCUCUUUCUCUCGCAAGGAGCGAAAACACGAUACGACGUGAGGGCAGCGUUAGAACGAGGGGCCGAUAAGAGGACGGGAGAAAGAGGUGAAGGAAGAAAAAGAAAGCUGGAUAGAACAAGGAAUAGAGAGAGAGAGAGAGAGAGAGAGAGAGAAGAAAACGUGGAAGGGUACACACAGCGAUCGUAGCUCGUAAGUUAGCACGUGGUCGAGUCAAGCCGUGCGAAGGAAACCGAGAAGCAGGAAAGGAGAGGUGGAACGAGUCAAGCGGGCUCACUACCUCAUCUCGCUUCUUCAACCACUGACGUAGAUGGAAUUCUAAGUAGCCCUCGUGUCGACGUGAUCUCAGGAAGCCUUGCUGCAGACGUUAUCGGCUGAUUGCGAUAAUUUACGAUAAGUAACCAGAGAGAAGGAUUAAAUAACGUGAGAGAUCUCUAAA